rnacentral:rRNA from 1 species
CGCUUUGUGGUUCACUGAUUUGAAGAGCUUGCUCAGAUAUGACGAUGGACAUUGCAAAGAGUGGCGAACGGGUGAGUAACACGUGGGAAACCUACCUCUUAGCAGGGGAUAACAUUUGGAAACAGAUGCUAAUACCGUAUAACAAUGACAACCGCAUGGUUGUUAUUUAAAAGAUGGUUCUGCUAUCACUAAGAGAUGGUCCCGCGGUGCAUUAGCUAGUUGGUAAGGUAAUGGCUUACCAAGGCGAUGAUGCAUAGCCGAGUUGAGAGACUGAUCGGCCACAAUGGGACUGAGACACGGCCCAUACUCCUACGGGAGGCAGCAGUAGGGAAUCUUCCACAAUGGGCGAAAGCCUGAUGGAGCAACGCCGCGUGUGUGAUGAAGGGUUUCGGCUCGUAAAACACUGUUGUAAGAGAAGAAUGACAUUGAGAGUAACUGUUCAAUGUGUGACGGUAUCUUACCAGAAAGGAACGGCUAAAUACGUGCCAGCAGCCGCGGUAAUACGUAUGUUCCAAGCGUUAUCCGGAUUUAUUGGGCGUAAAGCGAGCGCAGACGGUUAUUUAAGUCUGAAGUGAAAGCCCUCAGCUCAACUGAGGAAUUGCUUUGGAAACUGGAUGACUUGAGUGCAGUAGAGGAAAGUGGAACUCCAUGUGUAGCGGUGAAAUGCGUAGAUAUAUGGAAGAACACCAGUGGCGAAGGCGGCUUUCUGGACUGUAACUGACGUUGAGGCUCGAAAGUGUGGGUAGCAAACAGGAUUAGAUACCCUGGUAGUCCACACCGUAAACGAUGAGUGCUAGGUGUUUGAGGGUUUCCGCCCUUAAGUGCCGCAGCUAACGCAUUAAGCACUCCGCCUGGGGAGUACGACCGCAAGGUUGAAACUCAAAGGAAUUGACGGGGACCCGCACAAGCGGUGGAGCAUGUGGUUUAAUUCGAAGCAACGCGAAGAACCUUACCAGGUCUUGACAUCCCUUGACAACUCCAGAGAUGGAGCGUUCCCUUCGGGGACAAGGUGACAGGUGGUGCAUGGUUGUCGUCAGCUCGUGUCGUGAGAUGUUGGGUUAAGUCCCGCAACGAGCGCAACCCUUAUUACUAGUUGCCAGCAUUCAGUUGGGCACUCUAGUGAGACUGCCGGUGACAAACCGGAGGAAGGUGGGGAUGACGUCAAAUCAUCAUGCCCCUUAUGACCUGGGCUACACACGUGCUACAAUGGCGUAUACAACGAGUUGCCAACCCGCGAGGGUGAGCUAAUCUCUUAAAGUACGUCUCAGUUCGGAUUGUAGGCUGCAACUCGCCUACAUGAAGUCGGAAUCGCUAGUAAUCGCGGAUCAGCACGCCGCGGUGAAUACGUUCCCGGGUCUUGUACACACCGCCCGUCACACCAUGAGAGUUUGUAACACCCAAAGCCGGUGGG